GACGAACGCUGGCGGCGUGCCUAAUACAUGCAAGUCGAGCGAAGUUUUUCUGGUGCUUGCACUAGAAAAACUUAGCGGCGAACGGGUGAGUAACACGUAAAGAACCUGCCUCAUAGACGGGGACAACUAUUGGAAACGAUAGCUAAUACCGGAUAACAGCAUAAAUCGCAUGAUAUAUGUUUAAAAGUUGGUUUCGGCUAACACUAUGAGAUGGCUUUGCGGUGCAUUAGCUAGUUGGUGGGGUAAAGGCCUACCAAGGCGACGAUGCAUAGCCGACCUGAGAGGGUGAUCGGCCACACUGGGACUGAGACACGGCCCAGACUCCUACGGGAGGCAGCAGUAGGGAAUCUUCCGCAAUGGGCGAAAGCCUGACGGAGCAACGCCGCGUGAGUGAAGAAGGAUUUCGGUUCGUAAAGCUCUGUUGUUAGGGAAGAAUGAUUGUAUAGUAACUAUAUACAGUAGAGACGGUACCUAACCAGAAAGCCACGGCUAACUACGUGCCAGCAGCCGCGGUAAUACGUAGGUGGCAAGCGUUGUCCGGAAUUAUUGGGCGUAAAGCGCGCGCAGGUGGUUUAAUAAGUCUGAUGUGAAAGCCCACGGCUCAACCGUGGAGGGUCAUUGGAAACUGUUAAACUUGAGUGCAGGAGAGAAAAGUGGAAUUCCUAGUGUAGCGGUGAAAUGCGUAGAGAUUAGGAGGAACACCAGUGGCGAAAGCGGCUUUUUGGCCUGUAACUGACACUGAGGCGCGAAAGCGUGGGGAGCAAACAGG
rnacentral:rRNA from 1 species